UACCUGGUGACGCCCCUAUACUGCGAUGUCCUCUGCCCAAACGUGUCAAUGGACUUCCGGUGAACAGGCUGCUUUUGGCCCCCUUUCCCGGUGCCCCUCUUCUUCCCGACACGCUGCUCGCCACCGUCAUUACUGUUGCUUCCCUGGCCAUCACCAGCAGCAGCAGCUGCAGCGACCACCGCCAUCUGCUGAUGCUGCUGGGGAGCUGCACUGACGCAGCUGCUGGACUGGGACCCUGGGCUCAUGGAGAGGCUGAGCGGCUGCGGCAUCUCCUGGUUGCCGUAGCAGGCG
rnacentral:sRNA from 1 species